rnacentral:rRNA from 1 species
AUGUCUGUCCAUGGAUGGAACACGCAAAUGGUCGAUCAGCGGUGGUGCCGAGGGUUGGAUCUCCCCGGACUGAGCCUCUUGGAGGUCCCACAGACCGGAUCGGCGAUCUCUUGCAGUGGCCGUGCUGCGGCCGUGGUACUCUCCUACUCUAAGACGAGCUCCUUAGCCGAAAGGUGCCCCAGCCAGCCAGAUGCAGGUAGUGGAGGGUCGUUGGCAACUUCCCCACCGCAGCACCAGGGAUCAAGGCCACCGAUACGCUCGCAGGAGCGGGCCGUGUGUCAAACUUCUCUAGUUUUAGAGUUUUUUUUUAGCAUCAGUACAGACACAAGCGCCUAUCAUCUUGAGAUUUACGAGGCCAUAGUAGGCGCCUCGUCGUCGACAUGA